UCUGAGUUUUUGCCGAAAUUGAUUGCGGUUUUCAGUUGGAAGCCGCGGUUACGAUUACAGUUAAACGGAAUGCGGUUACACGAAGGUCCAACCGCAUACUACGACAGGUCGCAUCACGGGGGCUUAGUGCAUAUGUGCCCUUAGGGAUUUAACAUAUUGAACUGAUUACUGAACGUACCUGUUCGCCAUUGGCACUGACAGCGUCACACAGCAUCUUCAGUUAUUGACAGACAUAUACAAAUCAAAAUAAAGGGACAUAACCCUUUCAUAAACAACAAAAAUUGAAAUGACUAUAAAAUAAGGUUUGUUCUAAUAAUAUGGACAACGACUUCAAAAUACAGUCCAGAGAUUUUCCCAAUAUAUGUAGAGUUUGCCUCAUCACUGGUGACUUGAAGCCUCUGAUCGAAGGAAGCCUUUCUGAGAUAUUUAAGGCCGUCAGUGAAAUUGAGAUUUCCACUGAAGAUAUAUUACCUAAAAACGUAUGCAUAACAUGUUCGAAUUAUCUUCAAGAAAUAAAAAGAUUUGGCGAAAAAUGCAAAGCAAAUGACGUUCUUUUACGACUAGUUGUUAAAACAGAAGAAAAAGAAUGUAAGCUGAAUAUAUUAGAUAACGAUCUAAAGGAACUAGAGUAUGGAUUAGACUUUGAUGACGGUAGUGCCGACAAUGAUAUUGAUGAUUAUGAAAAUGAUAGUAAUUAUGAACCAGAUCGAGUUAGUCCAAAAAUUAAAGACGAAGAGGAAGAACCCUUAAAGAAAAGAAGAGGGCGAAGAAAAAAACGCUCUUCAGAAUUCAGAAGGUCCUCCAAAGGCAAUACGAGAAAAAGACGGAAACUCAGAAAAUCCUCAGGCGAUGAAUCUGAGGAGGAAGAUGAUAAAACAAACAGUGUCAUUCCAGCCUGUAAAGCUUGUGGGGGGACAUUUACAAGCAAGACAAAAUUGUGUUCACAUUACAAAGAAAAUCUCAAUUGUAGGCCGAAGACUUUUAAACUAUUUAAGUGUGAAAUUUGUGAAAAAGAGUUCUCGACAAUUCGUAGACGUAAUGAACAUAUGAACAUUCAUACUGGUGAAACUCCAUAUAUUUGUAACUAUUGUGGAAAAGGCUUUCAGUUGUAUCCUGCUCAUUUCAAGCAUGUAUACCGUCAUAGAUUGGCGUUGGGAGAAGUUGAACUUAAGCCUGGAUACAUGGAAAAUAGAGUUAGAUCCAUCUUAGGAUGCAUACUGGAGAAACUCCAUAUUCGUGUCCAGUGUGUGGUAAUCGCUACCAUGAUAAGAGUAGUCUAAAUAAGCAUCAGAAAAAGAAAGGUCACCUAGGAGUCGCUGUCAAACAGGAAAAGCUUCUUCUGUAACCCUGAUGUGUGUUUAUUUAAUAUUUAUGAUCUCAACUGUCGAAUUAAUUCUAGAAAACUUUGGUCGAACGAUUGUUGAAUGCAGCGCACCUGUCAUGACAGAAUACCUGUCAAAAAAUUAUCGACGAAUUUAUGAAUGCUCAAUCUUAAUAUUAUUUGGAUACAUUAAAAUAUGCCAAGAGUGUUACAAGAUUAAUGAGGAUUUGGUCAACGGUUAACGAGAAAACUCUUGUUCGUUGUAACAACGUCUUAUCUAUAUUUUAACCACCAUCUAUGCUUUAGAAGAGCAGAGUCUUUGGAUAUUGGUGUGCUUUAAUCGUUUCAAAUGGCAAUUGACAGAAAAGAGAAUGAAUUGAGAACGACAAAAAUACGCUACAAACCUUCUCCACCAUUCCGGAAACGCUCUAUAUAUAGGGUGAUUCACGUAAAUCGUGCAUUUCCAAUUUUCUAAAUGUCUAAAUAACGAGUAGUGCCGAAACCAUGUAAAAUAUAUUUACCCCUCCAGUUAUUAUGCAGGGUGUAUGAGAAGUAUAACCUAACUUUCUUAUUUUAAAUGCACUCCGCUAAUUCAUUUAGCAUUCGUUGGAUUGGCUUUCCAAUUGCAGAUGGGCAACCUCAGUUUUGUUAAUUUAUCUCUUAUAGUUUUUGAUAUACAAGUUGAAAAACUUCUAAUGCACAGUCUACGUAAAUCACUCUGUAUACCAGUACUGAGGUCACACACAAACACCAACAUCUAAGUUUUAAUUUUUAAUGAAAGUUGCAGUCAAAAAAUGAACGCUACUCUUACAUCAUCUUUGAUAGAGUAAUUCACUUUUUUAUUGUAUCAUUAAUUGAAUUUUUAGAUUUGUGUCUUUUUAGACUUAUUUAGAUUUGUAAUAAAUGGCUAGACUGUACAUACUAUACUAAA
rnacentral:misc_RNA from 1 species